GACAGAGGGUGCAAACGUUGUUCGGAAUUACUGGGCGUAAAGCGUGUGUAGGCGGUCCACUAAGUCGGGUGUGAAAGCCCUGGGCUCAACCCAGGAAGUGCACUCGAAACUGGCGGGCUAGAGUAUCGGAGAGGUUGGUGGAAUUCUCGGUGUAGAGGUGAAAUUCGUAGAUAUCGAGAGGAACACCGGUGGCGAGGGCGGUCUGCUGGGCCAAGACUGACGCUGAGGCGCGACAGCGUGGGGAGCAAACAGG
rnacentral:rRNA from 1 species